UACAGAGGUCUCAAGCGUUGUUCGGAUUUAUUGGGUUUAAAGGGUGCGUAGGCGGCCUAUUAAGUCAGGGGUGAAAGACGGUAGCUUAACUAUCGCAGUGCCUUUGAUACUGAUGGGCUUGAAUGGACUAGAGGUAGGCGGAAUGUGACAAGUAGCGGUGAAAUGCAUAGAUAUGUCACAGAACACCAAUUGCGAAGGCAGCUUACUAUGGUUUAAUUGACGCUGAGGCACGAAAGCGUGGGGAUCAAACAGG
rnacentral:rRNA from 1 species